GAAAAACAAAGUCACUAGUUUUAGCUCUGGUGCUGUAGCCCGUGGGAUGGCUGGCUUGUGCUCUGAGAGAUUAUGAAAUACAGUAAAUCAUGUUGAGUGACUGAGAUGGGUGAAUCACUAUAGGUUUUGCCUUGGGAGGAAGAAAAACAUCUGAAAAGACACACAUGGAAGAAGGGUUGAGAAUGGGUAGCAUCUAUAAAAGUAAAUGCUGCACGGAUCGGUGGACACGUCAGAUAAGCUCGGAUGGAGUCUGUAAUGACAGGAUCCGUGUACUUCCCAUUGUACACCAAUAGGAGGUGUCCAUGCAGCAGCAACACUGGCAUCUGAAGUCCUCUGCCUCACUGACCUCAGGCUGACUGCACAGCUGUCUCUCGUGCGGAGGGGGUCCCCUCUACGUGCUGUAUGUAUUGUAUAUAACCAGCUUAUCACUAACCUCCAGAACCUCUCUCAUUAUCCCUUGCACAAAUUCCACACACCAAAUUAACUAGGAGCUCCCAGACUCCAGUUCAUAAACAUCUGAUUAUAAAGUCUACCACUCUGAUUUCUUCAGAUUUCAGCAGGAUUAAAUCUGUUGUUUACUCACAUUUUUAGGUGCUAAAAUUGACUUUAUCAGAGUGUGCAAAAACUUCUUAUAUAACGAGGUUUGGCAUUUCUUUUUAUGCAUCAUCUAACUGCUGGGCCAACCUUCAAAUGACAUUCUCUGAGCCAGAGCAGCUAUCUUUGUAAUGCAUUUCUUUGCAGCUUGUUCAAAGACAAAAAAGUGAAACUAUAUGCACGCAGAGAAAGAUACUGUAAGAACAAGACUGGACACUGGUGCUGGGAAAUAUGAAGAAAAAUCCAAGGAGCUCUUUGUAACUCCUAUUUAAGUUUUUUCUUCUACACCUGAUGUGCAGCAUAACAAAAGUCAUAACAGUCAGCAGUAAAGCAGAAACUGGCAGGUUGAGACUGAUAUUUAAGUAAUGAUAUAUAAUUUCUAUACAUUAGGGGAUUUCUCUAAGACGGAUCAGAUGUGCCCUGCUUUGAAAUGUUUCACAGACCCAAUUCAACACAAAACUAAGAUAGUGAAAGAGUGGAAAUAUAGACCAUGGGCCAACCCUGUAAUCAUAAUGAUACAAGGGCGUUUGAUUCAAAUAUGACAACUCUGCUGCAAACCAGUCUUCUGAAAGAGGACUGAUGAUACAGGACGCAAGCAGAAAAAGGCUCAGGAGUAGUAACUCCGCCUGUGUUUAUAGCACCGGCUGUUUUCACUGGAAACGUUUGAGUUCCACACAUUUCUAAAUAGAUCUGUACAGCAGCAGAGAAAAACUAGGUUUGCAGUACGACCCACACCCAUGUUUGUGGGACACGGAUCUUGUGUUGACACUAGGGGGUCAAAGCUUAAUGUGAUACAAGCAAAGCGGAUUUGUAAAUUCCACUCCCACUUCAGUCAAAAAGCAUUUGAGUACAGAGCAGGGCAUGCUUUACCGUGAAUAUCCUUGUAACUGUAAAGUUGUUUCUCAGUUAGAUUCACCCCUUGCUACUCAUGUGCAGUUUCAAAAUAUCAAGAAGGCAAAAGCCAAAAAUGUUUAGACUGAAGCUUCAGAACGGGACUUUACUAACCAAUAACUGAUGUCACUGUGGCUACAGUCAUGUGAAAAAUAAAGGUUUUACAAGAGUUUAUGCAGUCCAGUAAAGGCUAGGUAUACCCCAUGAUUCAUGACUUUCAGUAAUCCUUUUCAGUAUGACGUCAUUAGUCUCUCACAUGAUUGUAGAGGAAUCUUGGCUGACUCUUCUUCACAAAGUUCCUACAGUUCAUCAAGGUUUGUUGUUGUUGUUUGUUUUUUUUCCAGCACAGCUGUCUUAAGGUCCCAACACAGCAUUUCAGUUAGGUUGAGUUCUGGACUUUGCAUCAUUGCAAUAACUUAAUUCUUUACUUUUUCAGUCAUUCUGUUUUAGAUUUGCUGCUAUGUUUGGGAUCAAGGCCCUCUUGCACAACCCAACUGCAUAGUUCUUUUAAUAAACAGAGGAGAUCAUGGUCCAUUCAAUUAAAGUGCCAAAGUAACUGGAUGUGUAGUAACCUGUCUCAUCAGAUAGUUCAGAAACAGUCCAUCCAUCCAUCCUCUAAAUAGUGAGUCUGGACUUUGAUUUGAAUGUCUGACCCUGGAUUUUACCAACAACACCUGGAUGGAUUUUCUGUGGCUGGACCUUAUUAUCAAGAGUUUGUCCAUUUUUGGCCUG